CAGAGAGGAGUUAGCUCCUGGGGUUUUAAUUUGGACUCAGGGUUCUGAGGAGCAUUUUUCCCUUCAGCAACAUCCAACUUCACUUGGGCCUUAUCUUCAGGAAUAGAUGUCACAGGAAGAGUCAGAGGAUUGCUGGAAACAAUUAGGGGGGAGAUGGAGGAGGCCACAAGGGGCUGGUUUAAUGAACAGGGGAAAGUAGUGGGGUUAACAAGGAAAGUGGUGAUAGGAAUGGUCUGGGGACUUGGUGCCACAGCUGCAGUAACAGGCUGGAUCAUGUUACAGCCACCACCAAGGCUCACAACCUUUACUGUAGUGGCAGGAACUGUGAAGAUGACGGGUUUCAGGUGGAUGACGGGAGCAGGCUUCACACAGGGGGACGCCUUGGCUCCUUUUCUUCUUGUGGGCUUCCACCUCACAUAUGGCUUUCGAAAUUCAGAAGGGGCCAGAGAGGGCAGCAUUAACUUGGGUGCAGAGCAAGAAGGAGGUGCUGACUGAGUCUCAGACAAGGGGAAGCUGGUCCUGGCUUCAGACCCACAAGGCGUAGCAGGCAGUGAUGUUGGAGACUCAAAACCAUCUUCUCCACGAACCCCCACUGAAGGGAACCCUGGAAGUGUCUGUAAGACAGCGGCUGGCUGGAUCAGAUGAGGAAUCUGGACCACUGUGUUGCUUGGAGGAACUUCUGACUGAGUUGGCCACGUUGCCAUUUUCCCAGGGUUGAACACAGGCUGAACAGAGGGGCUGGGUUGGAUAAGGAGGGGCUUCUGGACCAAUGGCCACUUCUGUGGCCAAGCCUUUCUGGAGAAAGGCUUGGAAUCGGGCUUCAGUUUGAGCACCACACCCUUGGGUAGCAGCAGUGGGUACUGAGGUUCAUCUCCCAGGGCAGAGCUGGCUUUCUGUAAGUGCUGAUCGGUGCUGCUCUCAGUGGCUGUGGUCACACUUCCUCCCUCUGUAGCGCCUUCGGAUAUGUUCCGCAGUUCAUCCUGAAUGGACUGUAGACUGGCCUGCAGGACAAGAACACUCUGCUCUAGAACACAGCAGACGUUAAGGGAAAGGAAAACUUAGCUUUCUGGAUUCUGAGCACUACUGAAAGGGAGCCGCAACAUAUGGUUCCAAGACGGGUAUUUCUCUGCAUCAAUUUUCUAACACAAGAACAUUUCAAUUCUAUAAACUCGUCCAGAAUUUACAUUGGGAAAUUAUCAUGUAACUCCUACAGGAGCUGUCAGUGACUUUUGCCUCACACAGAUUUUGAAGGAAGGCCUGACCUUUAACCAGAAUGGAAGCCGGUGUUCUUCCUUCUCAAAAGGUGGCUUCCACUGAUGUGGCUGGAUCUCUUCACAGCACCUCACCAGAACUGGCAGCUGUUUGGUCUUCUUAUAAAACUAAACAUGAAAACACAGAGUAUAAGUCAUAUUCUUUCAGACUGGUAAAUGGGAUGGCUGAUAGUUUCAUACACACAAAUGUAUCAGGAGUAUAUCCUGAAUGUUUCUGCAGUUCAAAAACAGUAUUUCUAAUUAAUGAAGAUUUUGCAAUUAUUUAGUAUCUAAAUGCAAACAUCCAUUUUGAUUACCAUUAAAACUCAAACCUAUCUUUCUCAAUGACCCCCACUGUAGGGAAACGUGGAAGUUUAGGUCAGAAAGAACAGAAGUAAAUGAUCAAAAUAAUCUCAUUAAAUGUCUUCUCUUGCAUAUAGAGCUUUACCUCAUUUUACACACAGAAACUGCUCUUUUUAAAAAAGAUUUAUUUAUGUAUUUAUUAUAUGUAAGUACACUGUAGCUGUCUUAUGACACACCAGAAGAGGGCAUCAGAUCUCAUUAUGGAUGGUUGUGAGCCACCAUGUGGUUGCUGAUUUGAACUCAUGACCUUUGCAUGAGCAGUCAGUGCUCUUAUCCGCUGAGCCAUAUCUCCAGCACCCCAGAAACUACUUUUAAGUAGUAACUGGAAAAGACACUAUGAACCAAGCACAAUGGUACCUGAUUAUAAUCCCAGGGAAAGAGGAGGAGGAAGAGGAGAUAGAGGAGG
rnacentral:lncRNA from 1 species